CACAUUUUCACACAUACACACAUUCUCAGUUGAGCCUGUUUUAUAACAUAUUUGAUUACUAUCUACUCUAUUUGAUCGAGCAUGUUCUAUAACGUCUGAUUAUUAUAUCUACUUCUAUCACUGGCUUCCUCCCUACAGAUGGAUCAUAAUUACAUGCUGGCACCCCACCUCAGUCACUCAACUGUUCUGAAAAGGUCAAUAUGACUUUUAACAAAAUGUCUUUAUGUAAUGUCAGUAGUUGAUAUAUUCCUGCACCAAUAAUUAUUGAGAGAUGUUGAUCAGAACUAAGAUUUGGUCUAUAUAUACUUAAUUCAAACAUCAAGCAGCCUUUAUUUUUAUCUUUUUCUCCACAGUGAUCACGGUUUUGGGGUUUAUUGUUAACACUUUAGGAUCCUAACAUGAAUCUGAGCCUGUGUGGCCUGAGAUGCUGAGGAAAUGAAGCUCCUCUGAGAGGCCAGAGGCAAGCUGGCAGGGGAACAUUCUAGGGCUCAGGGAAAGGGCUGACCCAAGAGAAAGGCUUUCUGAAUUCCUUGGCCCAGACCCUCCCAGGCCUGGUCUUCUUCUCUGUUCUGGAACGGGAGGUAGACUCUUGUCUGUGAGCUGCAGCCAAGUUUCAUCUCCCCAGGGCACUGGAUUCUGCAGAGAACUGAACCAGUGCCAGUAGGGAGAAGGCUUUGCAGCUCAGCUAGCCAAGGAGCGCAUCUGCAAGGACCCGAGGUCUGGAGACAGUGACUGUGGUUAGAAAGAGACAUACAGAGGUGUCUGGGAGGAGAACUAGCCCUUGGGAGAGCUACAGCACCUCAACUCUUCAACUUUUGACAAACAUCUCUACGUGCUCAUGGUAGACAGGAAGGGUGGCUGGUUAUAUGAGUCGCCAGUCUCAUAGCUGCAAUAAUUGCCUUUUAGCAAAUGUGACUCAUAGGAUUGAGCGGAUGGAACAGGCUCUGCUCUUCUUUCCUGGGCGGUACCCACAUCACCUUGAACAAGAGAGAGAAAGACAUUUGGGUUAUGGGUCAAUGCCCUUCUGCCAGAGAAAAGGGUGAUGGUGAGGGAGGCUGGGGAUGGCAUUGCCAGCAAAUGGAAAUGAUGUAAGUCAAACAACAAUAGUGGGGAGCAUUUGUUUAGUUCUAGCUAAAUAUCAGGCACUUUGCCUCUAUUGCUACUCCCUAAAUCAGCCAAAGUAGCUAUUGGAAUAGCUGCUGAAGGACAAGGAAGCUCGUUAAAGCUCAUGCAGGAUUCUAAGUUCCUGACUGAUGCCAGGUCUGUCUGAUGCCAAUCCUAAAGCAGUUAGAGUGCCAUUUGUUGCUCUUCUAGAUUGAGACCCUAAAAAUGGUGGAGAACACAAACCAUAAGAAAGGAAGGAAGUUUGACUCGGGCAUGGAAGUCAGAGAGGAAAGGACAGAAGGUCGGAAGUCAGUUAGAACAGGGAAGGUGCAGGAUUAUCAGCCACAGUCAAGGAUAUGAUAGAACAGUCACCAAGAAAGCUCAGUCACCUGGGCCACCCAGGCUUACAGAGGAAAAUGUGAGCAGGGUUAGACCCCUCUGCUGAGGAAGAAAUGAAAACUGGUUAGAUGAUAAGAAAGGAAAAAAAAUCAUCUACUCUCCUCAGGAUUACCUGAAUCCCAAAUGAGCAUUCUGUAGAGUUCAGAAAGGGGAAAGAAGUGUCCCUUUGGCGUUUGGUCCUCACUCCCUCACAAAAAGCAAUGCACUAAUUAUCAGCACCAACUUUCAAGUAAUUGGAAAUAUUCUGGUCAGGACUAAAUUUCAAAAUAUUUCUGAGUAGGUACACAGGAGCAAGGUCCCAUGCAACAAUUGACUGGACACCUCCCGUCCCUCCUUGGAACCACCCCCGGUCAUCCUAUCAACUGCUGAUGUGUGGAGACAGAGUCUCUGUUGGUGAAGUAGGUGUGUAAGAGAAGAUUCUCAUGUUGGUGCGUCCAGCUUCAGUGGGCGUGCCAGUGAAGGAGUCUGAAGUAUCUAAAGUCACAGGUCAGGAAGUCACCGUCUCACAUCCCUGUGUGGGCUUACUUCCCACUGACAGGGUCUCCUUUGGCCCAGGAUGGUCUUGAACUUGCUACACGGCUGACAGUAACUUUGAACUUCAGAUUCUCCGGUGUCUGACUCCCAAGGGCUGGGAGUAA